AAGAGCGAGUCUAAUAUCUGUGACACACAACAAUGUAGAAGUAGCAUUAAUGUAAGAAGGUGCAAACUAGUUACUUUGCUGUGAGAGGAUUAUUAUAUUCUCUAGGGAAGAUUCCGGAAUCCGGUGACAUGAGGACAGCUAUAAACUUUGGAUACCCUUUCUAUUAAAUUUGAUACAUUUGACUCACAGUUGAGUUUACUUGACGAACAAAUGAAUCGACAAUAAACACCACCUGCACUGAAAUACAGGAUGGGCUGUAGGAGGAGGAUGGAUGGAGAGAAACUGCAAUCUGGAGGAACGCGGACAGAGGCGGCACCAAGCACCUACCACGGGAGUUCAUGGGAUUAAACGUCUGGCCAGCUAAUUGAGACGGGCCGCUCAUACCAGACUGCUUACUUCGCCCGCUGAUCCUCGGUGAAGACAGACAGCAAAAUCCCUGUUUUCCACUUUGCCUGGAAUACACCAGUCCUCUGAUCAGAUUAGGAUUUUUUUUCUCUCUCUCUCAUGAAAUCCAUCUGAAGUCUACGAGGAACCCCGGAUGUGGAACGGUGGAGUCUCAGGCCGUAUUUUGCAUUCUGUUGUCUUAGUGCCAGGAAAAUGGGGGAGAGAGUUUAAGCCUGGGCUGACAGAUGAAGCUGGCUUGCUUUGCUCACAAGUGCAUUUAGCCUCUGGUCACCAUCAUGACCAGGACUGGCCAAAGAUGGACAUAUCGUGGCAUGGGAAAUGUGAUGCAGCACAUUCCAUAUCCACUGUGACAAUCCUGUCUUUCCUGUCGCUGUGGAAUUUCUUCUGCAGGAAAAUUCUCCUCGGCACACAUGGAAAUACCUUCGCAAAUUUGGCUGAACACAUACUUAACACACAGCUGCAGACUUAAUUAAUACCUCAAUAUAUCAAUAACAGCUGACGGCAACAAAAUCUGGGGAUCAUGGUGUACAGCUAUGGAUUAAUCCCAUUUUCAUAAUAAUUAACACACUUUGUCAGUGUAGGGAUAAACUGUUGUACUGUGAGUAUUGCCACAACUUUCAGAACACUUUGCCUGCGUCUGUAACUUCUUCACACUGCAAAGUUCACAAAGUGCUUAAGGAAACUGGCAUGGGUCUGAAAAAGGUUUGGAUGCCAAGAAGGGAUCAGCCUCAUCCACCUUUAAGCCAAAUUUGAACUGUUUUGGAAAAUACCCUGGUAUAUAAAAUUAAAAGCUGUGCACAUUCCUUUAUAUAAUAGUGGCUGCCAGGCAAAUAAAUAAUGUAUACAAAUAAAUAAUUGUUCCACAGUCCAUUUCGUCUGGCACAUUAGUCAUAUA